GAAAACAGCUUCAGAAAGAUGUCCAGUCACUCAGAAGUCUCCAGAGAGCAAAUGUCACUCUGGAUCCAGACACAGCCCAUCCUGAACUCAUCCUGUCCAAGGAUCGGAAAAGCGUGAGAUUGGGAGACAAACCUCAAGCCCUGCCUGACAAUC